UACGGAGGGUGCAAGCGUUAUCCGGAAUCACUGGGUUUAAAGGGUGCGUAGGCUGUUAGAUAAGUCAGUUGUGAAAUUCUCCGGCUUAACCGGGUGAACUGCGAUUGAUACUGUUUAACUUGAAUGAGGUUGAGGUAGGCGGAAUGUGGCAUGUAGCGGUGAAAUGCUUAGAUAUGCCAUAGAACACCGAUUGCGAAGGCAGCUUGCUGGGCCUUCAUUGACGCUGAGGCACGAAAGCGUGGGGAGCAAACAGG
rnacentral:rRNA from 1 species